rnacentral:rRNA from 1 species
UGACGGUAUCUAACCAGAAAGCCACGGCUAACUACGUGCCAGCAGCCGCGGUAAUACGUAGGUGGCAAGCGUUGUCCGGAUUUAUUGGGCGUAAAGCGAGCGCAGGCGGUUUCUUAAGUCUGAUGUGAAAGCCCCCGGCUCAACCGGGGAGGGUCAUUGGAAACUGGGAGACUUGAGUGCAGAAGAGGAGAGUGGAAUUCCAUGUGUAGCGGUGAAAUGCGUAGAUAUAUGGAGGAACACCAGUGGCGAAGGCGGCUCUCUGGUCUGUAACUGACGCUGAGGCUCGAAAGCGUGGGGAGCGAACAGGAUUAGAUACCCUGGUAGUCCACGCCGUAAACGAUGAGUGCUAAGUGUUGGAGGGUUUCCGCCCUUCAGUGCUGCAGCAAACGCAUUAAGCACUCCGCCUGGGGAGUACGACCGCAAGGUUGAAACUCAAAGGAAUUGACGGGGGCCCGCACAAGCGGUGGAGCAUGUGGUUUAAUUCGAAGCAACGCGAAGAACCUUACCAGGUCUUGACAUCCUUUGACCACUCUAGAGAUAGAGCUUCCCCUUCGGGGGCAAAGUGACAGGUGGUGCAUGGUUGUCGUCAGCUCGUGUCGUGAGAUGUUGGGUUAAGUCCCGCAACGAGCGCAACCCUUAUUGUUAGUUGCCAUCAUUUAGUUGGGCACUCUAGCGAGACUGCCGGUGACAAACCGGAGGAAGGUGGGGAUGACGUCAAAUCAUCAUGCCCCUUAUGACCUGGGCUACACACGUGCUACAAUGGGAAGUACAACGAGUUGCGAAGUCGCGAGGCUAAGCUAAUCUCUUAAAGCUUCUCUCAGUUCGGAUUGUAGGCUGCAACUCGCCUACAUGAAGCCGGAAUCGCUAGUAAUCGCGGAUCAGCACGCCGCGGUGAAUACGUUCCCGGGCCUUGUACACACCGCCCGUCACACCACGAGAGUUUGUAACACCCGAAGUCGGUGAGGUAACCUUUUUGGAGCCAGCCGCCUAAGGUGGGAUAGAUGAUUGGGGUGAAGUCGUAACAAGGUAGCCGUAUCGGAAGGUGCGGCUGGAUCACCUCCUUUCUAAGGAA